CUGAUGUUUUGUAACAUGGUAUAUCCUAUUCUCUUGUUCAAUUGUUCAGCAGAUAUUUCUAUAACUGUGUCCCCUGGUACUGAUUAUAAGGAGUGAGGAUUACAGAGAUGAGCAAGUAGAUACCAUCUUGCCUUGAAGAGCUUAUAUUCUACUGAGCAGCACACAUAAAAACAACUGAGCUCACCAUGAUCUCAUCACAGCUAAGCAUUGGAGAAAGUGGCUCAUCACGUCACACCCAUGGGCAAAGUCACAUUUCGAGUGGGAAUUUUUAUGUCUAUGAUGGAGAUUAAGGAGCCAUCCAUUCAUUCUCGC
rnacentral:lncRNA from 1 species